GGCUCCGGUGGGCCGCGAACUCCCCCUAAGAACCGGGGUAGAGAACUCCCGCCCACCCACCCUUCCGGCUGCGAUCACUCGUACGGGUGACCGGCUUGCGGUAGCUGCACGACGGUCGUUACUUUCGCGGCAACACAACCGCAAAACGACGGCCCCCGCCGGGACGGCAAUCCCGAUCGAGGGCCUGACCGAUCAGGAAGUAGUGCCUUCCCG
rnacentral:ncRNA from 1 species